UUAGAAAAAUGUUUUUUUUGCUUGAUUUCAGAUUAUUCUAUGGAACAGAUUAGUUUGAAAUCAUCAUUUGAAUGACAAGAAAAGAAAUAAAUAAAUAAAAAUCGCCCUCUCUUCGCUACGGAAACUGUAAUUUAUUACUGAUUUCUCCACUAUUUAAUGGAUGUUAUUAUACAUAUAAACCUUCCUUUUCAAUCACUCUAUCUAUUAAAAAAAACCGCAUCAAAUCCGUUGCGUAGUUUUAAAGAUUUAAGCAUACAUAGGGAUAUAGGGACAGAGAAAGCGACUUUGUUUUAAACUAUGUAGUGAUUUAAGCGGUUUACGUGAAUCGUAGACAAAAUUGAUAAUUAUUUUACGGUUAAAUUUCGCAUUUUAUUAUUUGGGACGUUUCGAAUACUUUACUUGAGUCGUCUAUUAUCAAAGGUGGCAAUCUGUGCAUUUGGACAAAAAAAUGUUAUUGAUAUGUCAAUACAGAUUGAUUUGAAUAUAAUCGUCUCCUUCAAAGAAUACGGUUCAAAACCUGCUUUAAAUAAAGGUUAAUACUUAACCUGUUAUUUAUCUAAGAUGACGAUCAGAAGAGUUUUGUGACUGCCAAUGGAAUACAAAGUCAAUAAUUCGUUUUUCUGAUUUACCAAUAAUAAUUGUCCAAAAGUCACAUUGCCGGCUUUGAUAAUAGUCGACUCACUUACAGGUUUUUAAUUGAUUCCGAUCCGGUGGUAGAUUCUGUGAAGCACUGACCUUGCUAGAGCUAGUGUUAGCAAAUUGUCUCAGGUUGAGUCCGUGAGCUCACCUAUCCGUCCGCGAGUAGCUGGAAUAGUCCCUUAAACUCCCAGCGAAUACUUAGGGAAAAAAGUACAGGUUUUAAUGAUCGAAAAUAAUAAAAACAAAAUAAACGACAGAUUAAACCGUAAAAAUUUAAAUUUCAUUAUAUAAUAAAGCAAUAUCACGAAUACUUAACGUGACCAUACGUCCCGCUUUGGGCGAGAUUGUCACGCUUUCAGGCUGUCCGUCCCGUUGUCCCCAACGAGAACAAAAAUGUCCUGCUUUCAUUUAUCUGUUGUGCAUGUGUUUAUUAGAAACUUAUCGAAUACUUAUUUAUCCCAAAUCCUUAUUGUACCUAUUACAAAAUACAUACUAAAGUAACAGUAACUCUAAUUUGCUGUAGAAAAGUUUUUUUUUUUUUUUAAGGGCAAGUUUGUGUAAGAAUUAAGAUGUCAGUGAGGGUAGGAUACCAUAAUAAAUCUGUACCUCAGAGGUAAACAAUAGUAACUCCACAUUUUGUCGAAAUUAAGUUUUUUAUACCAUUAAAAUCGCAAGAACCAGUUCUACAUAAUGGUAUAAAGCAUUAAAUCCUACGUUGCCUAUGAAAAGAGAUAUACAAUGGUAUAUAACAUUAAUUGCACAAAUAUUAACAGGGUAUAGGAUCUCAAAUGAUGUUGAUAUUUUUUGCCUCUAACCACAGCGCGACGUUAAUGCUGUUCAUUGGAUAUAAUGUUCUAUACCUCUUAAAAAACGCGGGGGCGCUCGCGAUACACGUGAAACUGUCGUUGCUUUGAGCGUAUAAAAUAACGCAAUUAAUUGUAUAAAAGUGUAAAAAUAAUAUGUUUUCACGUGGAAAAUUACUAUGUAAUCUUGCAAAUGCCGGAGAACAGUGUAAUGCAACUCCUGAAUAUAAGCCCCGGAGAAAGCAGCAACAUGUACCUGAAUGCCACGAUUCACCCAAAAUGUUAUCGCCAAGGCCUUACAAAGACCUUGAUGUGCAUUUGGAUCCAUCAUAAGAACUACAUACAGAUAAUUUUGAUACAAAAUCAUCCCCCUUCGCUUUAUUUACUGAUAUCUCAAACAAA